rnacentral:rRNA from 1 species
UGGGGAAUAUUGGACAAUGGGCGAAAGCCUGAUCCAGCCAUGCCGCGUGAGUGAAGAAGGCCUUAGGGUUGUAAAACUCUUUCGACAGGGAAGAUAAUGACGGUACCUGUAUAAGAAGCUCCGGCUAACUCCGUGCCAGCAGCCGCGGUAAUACGGAGGGGGCAAGCGUUGCUCGGAAUUACUGGGCGUAAAGCGAGCGUAGGCGGUUUAUCAAGUUGGUGGUGAAAGCCCGGAGCUCAACUCCGGAACUGCCAUCAAAACUGGUAUACUAGAGAUUGGUAGAGGAAAAUGGAAUUCCUAGUGUAGAGGUGAAAUUCGUAGAUAUUGGGAAGAACAUCGGUGGCGAAGGCGAUUUUCUGGGCCAAAUCUGACGCUGAGGUUCGAAAGCGUGGGUAGCAAACAGG